AUUGAACGCUGGCGGCAGGCUUAACACAUGCAAGUCGAGCGAGAGGCGGGCGGGUGAGUACUGUCUAGGAAACUGCCUGAUGGAGGGGAGUAACUACUGGAAACGGUAGCUAAUACCGCUUACCCUCAGGUGUGCCCAGAUGGGAUUAGCUAGUAGGUGGGGUAAAGGCUCACUUAGGCGACGAUCCCUAGCUGGUCUGAGAGGAUGACCAGCCAUACGGGAACUGAGACACGGUCCAGACUCCUACGGGAGGCAGCAGUGGGGAAUAGUGCACAAGUGGCGCAAGCCUGAUGCAGCCAUGCCGAGUGGGUGAAGAAGGCCUUCGGGUUGUAAAGCACGUUCAGCGAGGAGGCGUUACUCGCAGAAGAAGCACGGGCUAACUCCGUGCCAGCAGCCGCGGUAAUAC
rnacentral:rRNA from 1 species